rnacentral:tRNA from 1 species
GUCCCUAUCGUCUAGCCUGGCCCAGGACAUCGCCCUUUCACGGCGACGACAGGGGUUCGAAUCCCCUUGGGGACGCCA